rnacentral:rRNA from 1 species
GAUGAACGCUGGCGGCGUGCCUAAUACAUGCAAGUCGAACGCAUAGCGAAAGGUGCUUGCACCUUUCAAGUGAGUGGCGAACGGGUGAGUAACACGUGGACAACCUGCCUCAAGGCUGGGGAUAACAUUUGGAAACAGAUGCUAAUACCGAAUAAAACUUAGUGCCGCAUGACACAAAGUUAAAAGGCGCUUCGGCGUCACCUAGAGAUGGAUCCGCGGUGCAUUAGUUAGUUGGUGGGGUAAAGGCCUACCAAGACAAUGAUGCAUAGCCGAGUUGAGAGACUGAUCGGCCACAUUGGGACUGAGACACGGCCCAAACUCCUACGGGAGGCUGCAGUAGGGAAUCUUCCACAAUGGGCGAAAGCCUGAUGGAGCAACGCCGCGUGUGUGAUGAAGGCUUUCGGGUCGUAAGGCACUGUUGUAUGGGAAGAACAGCUAGAAUAGGAAAUGAUUUUAGUUUGACGGUACCAUACCAGAAAGGGACGGCUAAAUACGUG